AUGAACGCUGGCGGCGUGCCUAAUACAUGCAAGUCGAGCGAACAGACGAGGAGCUUGCUCCUCUGACGUUAGCGGCGGACGGGUGAGUAACACGUGGAUAACCUACCUAUAAGACUGGGAUAACUUCGGGAAACCGGAGCUAAUACCGGAUAAUAUAUUGAACCGCAUGGUUCAAUAGUGAAAGACGGUUUUGCUGUCACUUGUGGAUGGAUACGCGCCGCAUUAGCUAGUUGGUAAGGUAACGGCUUACCAAGGCAACGAUGGGUAGCCGGCCUGAGAGGGUGAGCGGCAACAGUGGGAAUGAGAAACGGAACAGACUACUACGGGAGGAAGAAGUGGGGAAUAUUACAAAAUGGGAGGAAGCAUGAUGAAGAAACGUAGAGUGCGGGAUGAAGGUUGUCGGGUUGUAAACAGAGUUCGACUGUGAAGAAGAGUGAGGGACGGUAAUGGGUAAAGAAGCAAGGGCUAACUACGUG
rnacentral:rRNA from 1 species